GAGUUUGAUCCUGGCUCAGGACGAACGCUGGCGGCGCGCCUAACACAUGCAAGUCGAACGAGCGAGAGAGAGCUUGCUUUCUCGAGCGAGUGGCGAACGGGUGAGUAACGCGUGAGGAACCUGCCUCAAAGAGGGGGACAACAGUUGGAAACGACUGCUAAUACCGCAUAAGCCCACGACCCGGCAUCGGGUUGAGGGAAAAGGAGCAAUCCACUUUGAGAUGGCCUCGCGUCCGAUUAGCUAGUUGGUGAGGUAACGGCCCACCAAGGCAACGAUCGGUAGCCGGACUGAGAGGUUGAACGGCCACAUUGGGACUGAGACACGGCCCAGACUCCUACGGGAGGCAGCAGUGGGGAAUAUUGCACAAUGGGGGAAACCCUGAUGCAGCGACGCCGCGUGGAGGAAGAAGGUUUUCGGAUUGUAAACUCCUGUCGUUAGGGACGAUAAUGACGGUACCUAACAAGAAAGCACCGGCUAACUACGUGCCAGCCGCCGCGGUAAUAC
rnacentral:rRNA from 1 species